UACGUAGGCAGCAAGCGUUGUUCGGAGUUACUGGGCGUAAAGGGUGCGUAGGUGGCUCUAUAAGUCUGGUGUGAAAUCUCCCGGCUUAACUGGGAGGGUGCGCCGUAGACUGUGGGGCUAGAGUGUGGGAGAGGAAAGUGGAAUUCCUGGUGUAGCGGUGAAAUGCGUAGAUAUCAGGAGGAACACCGGUGGUGUAAACGGCUUUCUGGACCAUAACUGACACUGAGGCACGAAAGCGUGGGUAGCAAACCGG
rnacentral:rRNA from 1 species